GUGUGCAGCGGGAUGUUUAAGGAAAAUAAAGACAUACAGUAGAGAAGAAGAAAGGGAAUGGUUGAGACAGAAGCCCAAAGCAAUGACUCCUCUCUUCUGUCUGUCCACACACAGAGCUCUCCUGCAUGUUUCUAUGACAGCUCUGUGUAAGGACCAAAACACAUACAAAACCAGCUUCACAGACCCUCCAGAUCAGGUUUGGUUGGGUCAUCUGAUAUUUUAAGUCAGGGGUUCAAAACUAUGCCCUGCAAAGGACCCCCAAAUGGCCUGAGCCUCUGACUGAGACCCCCUCUUGAAAAAAGGCCUUGAAUUAUCGUAUUUUGGCCAAUACCAAUAUAUGAAUGUAAAACUUCUUUAUAUCACAUUUUUACUUGCAUGUUCAAAAUUCCAGGAUUUUACAUUUAAAAACAUUUUUUUGCAUUCACAUUAAUAAUGUAAAUUGAUACUUAAUCAGUGUCUUUGGAUACAAAUGAAUGCAUUGAACUGUACCAAUUCAUCUUGACUUCACAUUUAUUAUCAAGUAAAUGCUGCACUGUAUGAAAACCACGACAAAUACAAGAUUUGAUUUGAUUUGAUUAAAGGAUAACACUGUUACACAUUAAGAAUUAUUCUGGGACGUAUGUAAAAAAUGCCAAACAUUGUCAAUAUGAUGUGACACUGACUGCUUUGAUUGAAAACAAAGAUAUCAAAACUUGCUCUUAUACAGAGCCCUAACUUGCAAUGAGGUUACUGAGGUCUGGAUUGAAAGCAAAACUGGUACCAAUGCAUAAAGCACUGAUUUUUAUAUAGAAUGGAGAAAAUGCCUUCAUUUCCACCCAUUAUGAGCUUUGAAGCCAAAAGCCUGCCUUAAUAGGCGCUGACAUAUUGUGCUGGUGCAGCCAAGGCAUGCGCCUGGAAGCGACCUGGCUGGUAGUACUGCCGGACUGACGUCACACCCUUUAAA